rnacentral:rRNA from 1 species
GUGAGUCAUCGAAUCUUUGAACGCACCUUGCGCUCCUUGGUAUUCCGAGGAGCAUGCCUGUUUGAGUGUCAUUAAAUCAUCAACCCCACCGAUUUGUUUCGGCUUGGGGCUUGGACUUGGAGCGUGCUGGCGAAGGUCGGCUCCUCUUUAAAUGCAUCAGCGGAAGAAUGCAUCUUUUUUCCCUUCAGCGUGAUAAUCCUGUUGCGCUGUGUGUGGGUCAAAGGUGUUCCGCUUAUAAUCGUCCUUCGGACAAACGAACCCAUCUAUUUUUGACCUCAAAUCAGGUAGGACUACCCGCUGAACUUAAGCAUAUCAAUAA